rnacentral:misc_RNA from 1 species
GAACGCACAUUGCGCCCGCCAGUAUUCUGGCGGGCAUGCCUGUCCGAGCGUCAUUUCAACCCUCGGGCCCCCCUCUGCGGGCGGCCCGGCGUUGGGGCUCAGGCGCCGUCUCUGCUCGGCGCCUGUCCCCUAAAUGCAGUGGCGGCCUCGCCGCUGCCUCCUCCGCGUAGUAGCACAAACCUCGCGGCUGGAAGGCGGCGCGGCCACGCCGUAAAACCCCCCAACUUUACCAAGGUUGACCUCAGAUCAGGUAGGAAUACCCGCUGAACUUAAG